rnacentral:rRNA from 1 species
ACAGGGUGACAGGUGGUGCAUGGUUGUCGUCAGCUCGUGUCGUGAGAUGUUGGGUUAAGUCCCGCAACGAGCGCAACCCUCGACCUUAGUUGCCAGCAUUCAGUUGGGCACUCUAAGGUGACUGCCGGCUAAAAGUCGGAGGAAGUGGGGAUGACGUCAAAUCAUCAUGCCCCUUAUGACCUGGGCUACACACGUGCUACAAUGGGCGGUACAAAGGGCUGCGAACCCGCGAGGGGGAGCGAAUCCCAAAAAGCCGCUCUCAGUUCGGAUUGCAGGCUGCAACUCGCCUGCAUGAAGCCGGAAUCGCUAGUAAUCGCGGAUCAGCAUGCCGCGGUGAAUACGUUCCCGGGCCUU